rnacentral:rRNA from 1 species
CAGUCGCCGCGGGAAUACGUAGGUGGCAAGCGUUGUCCGGAAUUAUUGGGCGUAAAGGGCUCGCAGGCGGUUUCUUAAGUCUAAUGUGAAAGCCCCCGGCUCAACCGGGGAGGGUCAUUGGAAACUGGGAAACUUGAGUGCAGAAGAGGAGAGUGGAAUUCCACGUGUAGCGGUGAAAUGCGUAGAGAUGUGGAGGAACACCAGUGGCGAAGGCGACUCUCUGGUCUGUAACUGACGCUGAGGAGCGAAAGCGUGGGGAGCGAACAGGAUUAGAUACCCCCGUAGUCCCUGUCUCUUAUAA